GUGCUCGUAGCUCAGUGGAUAGAGCAGUGGUUUCCUAAACCACGUGCCGGGGGUUCGACUCCCUUCGGGCACACCA
rnacentral:tRNA from 2 species